rnacentral:rRNA from 1 species
UACGUAGGGUCUGAGCGUUGUCCGGAAUUAUUGGGCGUAAAGAGCUCGUAGGCGGUUUGUCGCGUCUGCUGUGAAAUCCCGAGGCUCAACCUCGGGUCUGCAGUGGGUACGGGCAGACUGGAGUGCGGUAGGGGAGAAUGGAAUUCCUGGUGUAGCGGUGGAAUGCGCAGAUAUCAGGAGGAACACCGAUGGCGAAGGCAGUUCUCUGGGCCGUAACUGACGCUGAGGAGCGAAAGCGUGGGGAGCAAACAGG